GCUAGCGUAGCUCAAUGGCAGAGCACCGGUUUUGUAAACCGGCGGUUGUGGGUUCGAAUCCCUCCGCUAGCU
rnacentral:tRNA from 1 species